UACGUAGGGUGCAAGCGUUGUCCGGAAUUAUUGGGCGUAAAGAGCUCGUAGGCGGCUUGUCACGUCGGUUGUGAAAGCCCGGGGCUUAACCCCGGGUCUGCAGUCGAUACGGGCAGGCUAGAGUUCGGUAGGGGAGAUCGGAAUUCCUGGUGUAGCGGUGAAAUGCGCAGAUAUCAGGAGGAACACCGGUGGCGAAGGCGGAUCUCUGGGCCGAUACUGACGCUGAGGAGCGAAAGCGUGGGGAGCGAACAGG
rnacentral:rRNA from 1 species